rnacentral:rRNA from 1 species
AGGAUCAUUAUUGAAAUAAACCUGAUGGGUUGUUGCUGGUUCUCUAGGGAGCAUGUGCACACCUUGUCAUCUUUAUAUCUCCACCUGUGCACCUUUUGUAGACCUUUCAGGUCUAUGUUGCUUCAUUUACCCCAAUGUAUGUUAAUAGAAUGUUGUGCCUAUAUAAUAUAUACAACUUUCAGCAACGGAUCUCUUGGCUCUCGCAUCGAUGAAGAACGCAGCGAAAUGCGAUAAGUAAUGUGAAUUGCAGAAUUCAGUGAAUCAUCGAAUCUUUGAACGCACCUUGCGCUCCUUGGUAUUCCGAGGAGCAUGCCUGUUUGAGUGUCAUUAAUAUAUCAACCUUCUCUUUUUUGAGUGGUUUGGAUGUGGGGGUUUGCUGGCCUCUUAAAAAGGUCUUGGCUCUCCUGAAAUACAUUAGCAGAACAACCCUGUUCAUUGGUGUGAUAACUAUCUACGCUAUUGAAUGUGAAGGGCAGUUUGGCUUUCUAACAGUCCUUGGACAAAGCUCAUCAUUAAUGUGACCUCAAAUCAGGUAGGACUACCCGCUGAACUUAAGCAUAUCAAUA